rnacentral:rRNA from 1 species
UACGUAGGCAGCAAGCGUUGUUCGGAGUUACUGGGCGUAAAGGGUGUGUAGGCGGUUUUUUAAGGUUGGUGUGAAAUCUCCCGGCUCAACUGGGAGGGUGCGCCGAAUACUGAGGGACUAGAGUACGGGAGAGGAAAGUGGAAUUCCUGGUGUAGCGGUGAAAUGCGUAGAUAUCAGGAGGAACACCGGUGGUGUAGACGGCUUUCUGGACCGUAACUGACGCUGAGACACGAAAGCGUGGGUAGCAAACAGG